UGGGGAAUUUUGCACAAUGGGGGAAACCCUGAUGCAGCGACGCCGCGUGAUUUAGAAGGCCUUCGGGUUGUAAAAAUCUUUUCUAUGGGAAGAAAAUGACGGUACCAUAGGAAUAAGGACCGGCUAAUUACGUGCCAGCAGCCGCGGUAAUACGUAAGGUCCGAGCGUUGUCCGGAAUCAUUGGGCGUAAAGGGUACGUAGGCGGGUAAGCAAGUUAGAAGUGAAAUCCUAUAGCUCAACUAUAGUAAGCUUUUAAAACUGCUCAUCUUGAGGUAUGGAAGGGAAAGUGGAAUUCCUAGUGUAGCGGUGAAAUUCGCAGAUAUUAGGAGGAAUACCGGUGGCGAAGGCGACUUUCUGGCCAUAACCUGACGCUGAGGUACGAAAGCGUGGGUAGCAAACAGG
rnacentral:rRNA from 1 species